CUGGCAGUGAAACAUUGCUCGGGGCUGCCACUCCAGCAAGGGAUGUGAGAUGAAGGGGAUGGAGACUCUUCCAGGAACGUGCUCUCGGAGGAAGAAAUGACUAGUAACGUUGUGACAUCCCUUGUACUUGCCAAGCCUGCAACUCCACUCUGCCGGGCACGGUGCGUGCUUUGAACCCUGCGUCCUGCCCCGGGUUUCGAAUGCUGUAUCAACACAGUGCACUGCAGGGUGUUUUCACCACCCCAAGUUACUGAAAACCUGUGUGAACCUGAACUGAGUUCGAGAAAAGGAUUGAUGUUUCAGCUCAGUCCGAGCUGUUAUCAGCAUGUUCAUAUUUGCAGGCUCAACAAGCAGCAGUAAAACAAACAGUUCAAGUGACUUGAGCAAGAUCACCUUGUAGGUAAGGGACAGAGACUGAAAUAGAUCCUGUGUCUCCUGUCCCGUGUCUCCACCUGACCAUUUUUGACUCUAAUUAAGCAAUUACAAAGGCUGUUUCCCUGGCAAGGUGAUAAUCAGCUUCACUGCUGAUUGCAGUGAGUUUUCAUCACCUGAUAGGACCAAGGCUUGCAGAACAGAGACACUUUCAGCUGCUGUAAAUCAGCACAGCUUUGCUUUCCCUUCCAGCGAGCCGCGCUGAUUUACACUACUGAUUUAUGUUGGCCUCCCUGAGGUCCCUGACAGAUGUGCAGUGGUGGAUUAAAAUCAGACAAAUGAAGGGCUAUGAGGUGCCACUGGCCUGCCACCCCAUCCUGCAAACAGGCAUUGCCACCCAGAGGCAGGGGCAUCUCCUCUA